GGUCUCACCCAGCAAUGCUCAGGGGUUACUCCUGGCUCUGCACUCAGGAAUUACUCUUGGCGGUGCUCAGGGGACUAUGUGGGAUGCUGGGGAUCGAACCCGGGGAUGAUUUUAACUUUGUGACCAGAUGGCAAAUUCCAAAAGGGCAGAAUGCUUGUUGAUGACGGUUGCCCUCAGAAGGGCAGAGAGCGUUCUGCUUCGUGUGGACGAGCGGCUGCCCAGACGAGAGUCUACGGGAAGUGGCCUCACACUUUUUGGAAAGAAGCCCGACAGUCAGGAUCUGUGGGGCCAGCAAUGGCAGCGAGGUUCCUGAGUUUGUGGAUCAAGGAACAGCAACACAUUGUGUAUAAGCACCCAGUCAAAAGAAUUUGAAAACAUGCUAAUGGAGAUAACAAGAGAAGAAAACAGAGACAAGAGCUUCAGGCUAUGGAGAUGGAAAAAAAAGGAAUGGGAAUAAACUGAAAAAGGAAGAAACAUAGAAUGGAUGUUCUCAAUGAAAUUUAAUAAUAGAGUUAUCUUUGGGUGACUCA